rnacentral:rRNA from 1 species
AUUGAACGCUGGCGGCGUGCUUAACACAUGCAAGUCGAGCGGCAGCGCGGGAGCAAUCCUGGCGGCGAGCGGCGAACGGGUGAGUAAUGCUUCGGAAUCUGCCCUUCAGUGGGGAAUAACCAGUCGAAAGACUGGCUAAUACCGCAUACGAACUGAGGUUGAAAGCAGGGGAUCGCAAGACCUUGCGCUGAUGGAUGAGCCGAAGUCGGAUUAGCUUGUUGGUGGGGUAAUGGCCUACCAAGGCGACGAUCCGUAGCUGGUCUGAGAGGACGACCAGCCACACUGGGACUGAGACACGGCCCAGACUCCUACGGAGGCAGCAGUGGGGAAUAUUGGACAAUGGGGGCAACCCUGAUCCAGCGACGCCGCGUGUGUGAAGAAGGCCUGCGGGUUGUAAAGCACUUUUAAGUGGGGAGGAAGGUCUGCGACCUAACACGUCGUGGAAUUGACUUAACCCACAGAAAAAGCACCGGCUAAACUCUGUGCCAGCAGCCGA